rnacentral:rRNA from 1 species
GACGAACGCUGGCGGCGUGCUUAACACAUGCAAGUCGAACGGAAAGGCCUCUUUCGGGGGGUACUCGAGUGGCGAACGGGUGAGUAACACGUGAGUAACCUGCCCUUGACUUUGGGAUAACUUCCGGAAACUGGGGCUAAUACCGGAUAGGAGCUCCUGCUACAUGGUUGGGGUUGGAAAGUUUCGGCGGUUGGGGGUGGACUCGCGGCGUAUCAGCUUGUUGGUGGGGAAGUGGCUUACCAACGUUUUGACGGGUAGCCGGACUGAGAGGGUGACCGGCCGCAUUGGGACCGAGGUACGGCACCGACUCCGACGGGUGGCAGAAGUGGGGAAGAUUGAAGAAGGGGUGGAAGGCUGAUGCAGCAGCGCCGUGUGCCGGAUGACGGCCUUCGGGUUGUAAAACGCUUUCGCUCAUGACGAAGCUUUGUGUGACGGUAGUGGGUAAAGAAGCAACGGCUAACUACGUG